GAACGUACGCUGGCGGCACGCCUAACACAUGCAAGUCGAACGAAGUAGCAAUACUUAGUGGCAGACGGGUGAGUAACAUGUAGGUAUCUGCCCUUUGGCCUGGAAUAACACGAGGAAACUUGUGCUAAUACCGGAUAAGUCUUUACGGAGAAAGCUUUAUGCACCAUUGGAUGAGCCUGCACUUGAUUAGUUUGUUGGUGGGGUAAUGGCCUACCAAGACUGUGAUCAAUAGCUGAUUUGAGAGGAUGAUCAGCCACAUUGGGACUGAGACACGGCCCAAACUCCUACGGGAGGCAGCAGUGGGGAAUCUUGCACAAUGGAGGAAACUCUGAUGCAGCGAUGCCGCGUGAGUGAAGAAGGCCCUUGGGUUGUAAAGCUCUUUCGUCGGGGAAGAAAAUGACUGUACCCGAAUAAGAAGGUCCGGCUAACUUCGUGCCAGCAGCCGCGGUAAUACGAAGGGACCUAGCGUAGUUCGGAAUUACUGGGCUUAAAGAGUUCGUAGGUGGUUGAAAAAGUUAGUGGUGAAAUCCCAGAGCUUAACUCUGGAACUGCCAUUAAAACUUUUCAGCUAGAGUAUGAUAGAGGAAAGCAGAAUUUCUAGUGUAGAGGUGAAAUUCGUAGAUAUUAGAAAGAAUACCAAUUGCGAAGGCAGCUUUCUGGAUCAUUACUGACACUGAGGAACGAAAGCAUGGGUAGCGAAGAGGAUUAGAUACCCUCGUAGUCCAUGCCGUAAACGAUGUGUGUUAGACGUUGGAAAUUUAUUUUCAGUGUCGCAGCGAAAGCGAUAAACACACCGCCUGGGGAGUACGACCGCAAGGUUAAAACUCAAAUGAAUUGACGGGGACCCGCACAAGUAGUGGAGCAUGUGGUUUAAUUCGAAGAUACGCGCAGAACCUUACCAACACUUGACAUGUUCGUCGCGACUCUAAGAGAUUAGAGUUUUCGGUUCGGCCGGACGAAACACAGGUGCUGCAUGGCUGUCGUCAGCUCGUGUCGUGAGAUGUUGGGUUAAGUCCCGCAACGAGCGCAACCCUCACUUUUAGUUGCCAUCAUUAAGUUGGGCACUCUGAAAGAACUGCCAGUGAUAAGCUGGAGGAAGGUGGGGAUGACGUCAAGUCCUCAUGGCCCUUACGUGUUGGGCUACACACGUGCUACAAUGGUAUCUACAACAGGAAGCAAGACUGCGAAGUUAAGCAAAUCCCUAAAAGAUACCUCAGUUCGGAUUGCACUCUGCAACUCGAGUGCAUGAAGCUGGAAUUACUAGUAAUCGUGGAUCAGCGUGCCACGGUGAAUGCGUUCCCGGGUCUUGUACACACCGCCCGUCA
rnacentral:rRNA from 1 species